rnacentral:lncRNA from 1 species
CGGGACGCUCCCAUUGGCUCUCGCUGCUGCCCGUCGGCGGCGCGUCACGGGGUGGAGGCGGUGGGGGACCGUGACGCUUUCCGCGCUGGGUCGGGAGGAAGGCUGUCCGCGGAGGUCCUGCUCGGUGCGCGCUGCCACCGGCGGGGCCAGAGGCGCGGCCGCGCGUGGUUCGGACGCGGUAGCGUUUGGAGCGUCAGUAGUGUUACCGCUGGGUGGUCGGAAGACUACAAACCUGUGAAUGUUGAGGAUGAUGUUGAAGCAGUGAUUAUUGACAAUUCUGAAAUACAAGAUGGAGAAAAUGGUCUGUCCACACGAAGCUGCAUGUCAAUGGAACAAAAUUUUGAAGUAAACAGUAAUGUUCACCAUGUGGCUCAACUUACAUAUGGUAAUUGCGCUUCAUUUUCGUUGGUGAUCUAAUAGUUUGUAGCUAAUUUUAAUGCUGUAUUUUCAGUGCUUUUGUUGUUAUUGUGUCUUUGUUGAGUAACCCAUCUUUAAAACGUGUUUUAUUUGAAAGCUGCUUCAUAAAAAUUGUUUGGCAAUGCAUUUAAAAAUAAGAGGCCUUUAAAGUUAUUACUUCAGAGAUCCUUAUUAACAGCUAUCCCACUGAAAUAUUUCUCUGUUUAAAGAAAGACUUUCUGCUGUGUACCAAGGAAUGAAUUAGCUAAUGAUUAGCACUUAGGGAUUUGGAAAGCAAGUGACAGGGAAAAACGUAAUGUAGAAUAUGAGGCUUCUAGGUUAACAGUCAAGAGAAGCAUUGCUGAUACUUAUGUACAGUGGUAGUGAGAUGAUUAUUCAGAGUGGUAAAAUACUAGCUCUGAGUAGCCUUUGAUUUUUUUUUUUAAUUAAUUGUUGUUAUUUUAGCAUCUAAAAUCAAAGGUUGUCAGAAGAGUUGUCCAGUUUUCCAUUGGCUCAAGCAAAACUCAAUCAUAGCUCUUCAGAUUGUGUCUUGAGUCUGGUAGCAGUAUUGCUAAGUUAGCAAAGGAUAUGACUGUAGUUAAGUGAUGGUAUUUGCUACUUUUUUUUUUUUUCCCAAGCCUGUUGAGUUAAUAGAAGUUCUUAUCACUAUUUCUCUUCAGCAGAAUCCCACACAUCUUAGUUUCCCAGUGUUAUUAGGUGAUUUUUGGAAAGUUUUAAGUUCUUAGUCUUCUGUUUGACAGUACAGUUUGCUGUAAAUUUUUGUGCAUCUAUGAUGAAGAACAUGUUUGGAAGAUGGUUUGAAUGGCUCACUCUGUUUUUAUCUCUGAUUAAAAACAAAUAAAAAAAUAAAAAUUCCUGACCA